UUCAACUCAACCCAACAAGUACUUCCUUCGCAAUUAAGGCUCUACUACUGUCAUUCAAUCUUCUGUGCAUUCAAGAGAAGACUCAGAAAUCGAGAAGCUCCUACUUCCCCUUCCGAAAUCUAUUUGAGGGCUUCUAAUCUUUCUCUAUUAAUAUUGUUCACAUUUGCUUUAUAAAAGCUUUCCUUGUGAUUUUCCCAAAUUGUUUUUCUUACUUGAUUCAAUCAGAGGAUUGAAUCAAGGGUGGUAAGUGUUGCCCAGAUAGACAACCCAAGAGGGGGGGUGAAUUGGAUUUUAAAAUAAUUAUUACAAUUAAAUGGUUUGUGAAAUACUAAUUAAUACUUUUUGCAAGUUGAUUAAUUAGAUGCUAUGUGCAGUGAAUAAAAUGAAAGUAAAGUACGACAAGGCAAUCACAAACACAAUGAUUUUAUAGUGGUUCGGAGCUAACCCUUGCUCCUACGUCCACUCCCCAAGCCUCACUUGGGAAUUCACUAUAACCCCUUGGAUUACAGCCGGUUGUUUUACAAGCUCAUAACCUAACUUGUUGUUUUACGAGAUCACAACGAACUCGGUCGAUUUUUCCAGGCUCACCGACUA
rnacentral:lncRNA from 1 species